rnacentral:lncRNA from 1 species
UCCACUGCACCACAAUGGGAACUUGGAGGCUGAAUUCUUGAUACAGCUGAGGGAGGAGCCAAUAGGACCUCCCGACAAGACCGGAUUUAGGGAGUGAGAGAAGGGCAGGCGGAGAAGACCUCCAGGCGUUCCCCUGAGCAAGUACUUGCUGGAGCUCCACCAGUGGAGGUGGGAGGAUGAGGGCGGAGCAGGCUGAGGCGGGGGUGGGGGAAAUCAGGAGCCGCAGCCUUGGGGAGGUCCGAUGCUGUCACUCUCGCUGGACAAGUCAGGCAGGCAGUUAGGCAAAGGAGUCAGGAUGGCAAAUGCAUCUUGGAGUGUUGUCCCAUGGAUGCUGUUUAAAGCCAGGAGGCUGAGUGAGAUCCUGGAGGGUGUGAGUGUGGACAGACGGGAGGACAAGGGCUGAAUCUCGGGGGUCCUGAUGCUGAGAAGGCGAAGAGGAGGCCCCCUAGGAAGGUAGGAGGGAACCCGGGAAAUCGGGUGUCCUUGAAGCCAUGUGGAGACAGAGCAACCAGGAGGAAGGAGAGACCAGCUGUCCGGAGCGGUGCUGAUCUAAUCUUGCUGCUUUGGCUCUGCCCGGAGCUGCCACUCCCCAUCCCUGUGAAACAGGAGUUCCAGGGUCCACUCCCCAAGGGUGCGAGGACGAUUAAAUGAAACGAUGUCCCGGAAGCACAGGUGCGUUGAAAGCUCUCAGCACAUGGGAGUUUCUUUCUGCGGAAGAAUUCAUUCGCCUGACGCUGAGAAUCUAAACAUAAUCACAGUUGCCAGAAUGAUGAGCUCAUGUCUCUGGAAAAAAAAUAGCUAAGACACGCCCUUGUCAUUGGGCAGUGUCCCAGCAGCUGGGAAGAUCACACGUGGAAUAACGGGCCUCCUUCUGCGCCCAGGGGGACCAGGUCACCAUGGAGUGCGUCCCCCGUCAGGCCUGCAAAGGGGGGCCCGCAGGCAGGGCUUCCGGCGUCGGGCUGCAGGUGCUGACCUUCAGAAGCUCUGCUCCACCUCCCGAGGCCACCGUGGAGAGGACUUACUCCGGAAGGAGGCGGGUCACCAAGGCCCCCUUAGAGGGGAGAAGCGACCUGCACCUCAUCACGGGAGGGGACAGCCCAGCCCAAUGCAGGCGGAGCCAGAGGAAGAGGCUUGAAAUAAAGCAGGAAGGCCACGCCCACCGAGGCUCCGGCCCCUCCAAUCAGCUGCGACCCCGAGGGGAGAAGUGUCCGCCCUCACAGUCCAGAGCCGCUGAUCCUCAAGCUCCAAACAAUUGGCCAUCUGGCUGGUGACACCCAGUGGGACACCCUGGGGAGGCAGAAGCCCUGGUGGAGG